rnacentral:lncRNA from 1 species
AUUCAGGGUUUAGAGGAAGCGGUUGGUGCGCUGCAGGAGGCGGCGGCUCCUCCGAGGACUCUCGCUCCACUUCUGCCUUCGGGGCUCGUUAGUCGGCGGCUCCCGGGAGGCUGCCGGGGACGUGUUUGCGGAGGCAGGAGAUAUAGCACUCAAGCUCAUAUUUCAAAGAGAAGAAUUUACAUCACAUUUGGUUACCAUUCACUUCUUCAUUGCAGAUCCCUGCCUGUCUUGAGCACAAAGACCACGGAAGAGAGACUCUCACAUCCUUUAGUGAGAAGAAAGGAAUCAGCAGAGCAUAUUUAAACGGACUUGUGCCUGGUGGCCCUUUGCACACAAGCCUGCCUUUAAAGGAAGGGAGGAGAGAAACACAGUAGCAUUUAAUGAACUCUGUGAGAUGAGGCACUGCUAACGCCAGAUUCCAAAGAUUCAUCCACUAUUCCUUGUGCUUAAUGUAUAUGUUUCUACAAAGUCCGUUCAGAAGAGCCCAGAAAAGAAUCCAAAACGGCUG